AGAGAGGGAAACAAGGGGAAGAGGCUGCAGAAACUUUCUUUCUUCCUCCCCUCCCUUCACAUGGGCUGUUGCACACUUGCAUCUACAGGCAGUUACGGGCUGCUAUGCUCCUGCCUCGGGAAUAGGUCUCAGGUCCUAGUUGUUUUAGGAAAGCCAUCAUGAGAGUGAGAGAAUCUGAGCAGGGGGAGACAGGAACAGAGCAUCUUGUUGCCUCCUACGCUGGGCGGAGCAGCUGGUGCGCGCCCGUACACUGGCGCGGCGGUGGCGGUGGUGCUUGUGUGAGACGGGGUUGGGGUGGGAUGGUGACUAGGCAGUGUUUAGUUACUCCCAACUCCCACCUUUGACACUAUACAAAAAGAAGAUUCCCCAUCACAUCAAACUUGCGGUACAUGCAUGGAGUACUAAAUGUAGAUGAAAUUAAAAACUAAUUGCACAGUUUUGUUGUACUUUGCGAGACGAAUCUUUUGAGCCUAAUUAGUCAAUAUUUGGACAAUAAUUCACAAAUACAAACGAAACGCUACAUUGUGCUACAGUGCUGUAACAGUAAUUUGGCACCCCCAAAUUCCCCAACUAAACACGGCCUAGAUUCUCAGGGGGCCAUGUGCAGGGGAUGGAGGAGGACGACACGUAGCGGCAGGGGGAGCUCGGAUAGGAUCAGGGGAGGCGCAAAAGGCAACGCUAUGGACGGGGCAAUCGUGUGGCUGACUGCCUGUGAUCUCGCACACACGCUACUGGGUUUCUGAGGUGCUAAAUUUGGCCAGAAGAUGCGCGUUAUCGGCGGGUCCAAGCGAAGGCUGAGCAAGCAUGCAUCUUCCCAUGAAGCUGGCACUAAAAGAAGCAUGACAUUUUUUUUUUGAAAAAAGGAGGGACAUUGUGUACGUUGUCGGUAAUGUAGUAUUAACUGCAUUUCUCCAUUCCAAAUUGUAUUAUAUAUAAUGUAUGUCUAUGUGUAUAAUAAUAUCUAUAAAUUUAGAAAAGUUAAAAUGAUUUGGAACGGG
rnacentral:lncRNA from 1 species